rnacentral:rRNA from 1 species
UACGGGGGGAGCAAGCGUUGUUCGGAUUUACUGGGCGUAAAGGGCGCGUAGGCGGCCUCCGCAAGUCGACUGUGAAAUCUCCGGGCUUAACCCGGAAAGGUCAGCCGAAACUGCGGGGCUAGAGUGCAGAAGGGGCAACUGGAAUUCUCGGUGUAGCGGUGAAAUGCGUAGAUAUCGAGAAGAACACCUGCGGCGAAGGCGGGUUGCUGGGCUGACACUGACGCUGAAGCGCGAAAGCUAGGGGAGCGAACGGG